rnacentral:rRNA from 1 species
UGCCAGCCGCCGCGGUAAUACGUAGGGGGCAAGCGUUAUCCGGAUUUACUGGGUGUAAAGGGUGCGUAGGCGGCAUGGCAAGUCAGAUGUGAAAGCCCGAGGCUCAACUUCGGGACUGCAUUUGAAACUGCCUUGCUAGAGUGCAGGAGAGGAAAGUGGAAUUCCUAGUGUAGCGGUGAAAUGCGUAGAUAUUAGGAGGAACACCAGUGGCGAAGGCGACUUUCUGGACUGUAACUGACGCUGAGGCACGAAAGCGUGGGGAGCGAACAGGAUUAGAUA